GACGAACGCUGGCGGCGUGCCUAAUACAUGCAAGUAGAACGCUGAAGAGAGGAGCUUGCUCUUCUUGGAUGAGUUGCGAACGGGUGAGUAACGCGUAGGUAACCUGCCUGGUAGCGGGGGAUAACUAUUGGAAACGAUAGCUAAUACCGCAUAAAAUGGAUUAUCGCAUGAUAAUCCAUUGAAAGGUGCAAAUGCAUCACUACCAGAUGGACCUUCGUUGUAUUAGCUAGUUGGUGGGGUAACGGCUCACCAAGGCGACGAUACAUAGCCGACCUGAGAGGGUGAUCGGCCACACUGGGACUGAGACACGGCCCAGACUCCUACGGGAGGCAGCAGUAGGGAAUCUUCGGCAAUGGACGGAAGUCUGACCGAGCAACGCCGCGUGAGUGAAGAAGGUUUUCGGAUCGUAAAGCUCUGUUGUAAGAGAAGAACGAGUGUGAGAGUGGAAAGUUCACACUGUGACGGUAUCUUACCAGAAAGGGACGGCUAACUACGUG
rnacentral:rRNA from 1 species